rnacentral:rRNA from 1 species
CACUGGUGUUCGGGUUGUCAUGCCAAUGGCACUGCCCGGUAGCUAAAUGCGGAAGAGAUAAGUGCUGAAAGCAUCUAAGCACGAAACUUGCCCCGAGAUGAGUUCUCCCUGACUCCUUGAGAGUCCUAAAGGAACGUUGAAGACGACGACGUUGAUAGGCCGGGUGUGUAAGCGCAGCGAUGCGUUGAGCUAACCGGUACUAAUGAACCGUGAGGCUUAACCUUACAACGCCGAAGGUGUUU